rnacentral:rRNA from 1 species
CCUGGGGGGACAGCGGAGGGACAUUAC